rnacentral:rRNA from 2 species
UGGCUCAGGACGAACGCUGGCGGCGUGCCUAAUACAUGCAAGUCGAGCGCGGGAAGCGAGUGGAUCCCUUCGGGGUGAAGCUCGUGGAACGAGCGGCGGACGGGUGAGUAACACGUGGGCAACCUGCCUGUAAGACCGGAAUAACCCCGGGAAACCGGGGCUAAUGCCGGGUAAUACUUUUCUUCGCAUGAAGGAAAGUUGAAAGAUGGCUUCUUGCUAUCACUUACAGAUGGGCCCGCGGCGCAUUAGCUAGUUGGUGAGGUAACGGCUCACCAAGGCGACGAUGCGUAGCCGACCUGAGAGGGUGAUCGGCCACACUGGGACUGAGACACGGCCCAGACUCCUACGGGAGGCAGCAGUAGGGAAUCUU